UACGUAGGGUGCGAGCGUUAAUCGGAAUUACUGGGCGUAAAGCGUGCGCAGGCGGUCUGUUAAGACCGAUGUGAAAUCCCCGGGCUCAACCUGGGAACUGCAUUGGAAACUAACGGGCUCGAGUGUGGCAGAGGGGGGUGGAAUUCCACGUGUAGCAGUGAAAUGCGUAGAGAUGUGGAGGAACACCGAUGGCGAAGGCAGCCCCCUGGGCUAACACUGACGCUCAGGCACGAAAGCGUGGGGAGCAAACAGG
rnacentral:rRNA from 1 species